CCUGGCGACCACAGCGUGCGGGAACCACCCGAUCCCAUCCCGAACUCGACCGUGAAACCGCUCCGCGCCCAUGAUCGUGCGAGAUCCACUCGCGCUAAAGUCGGUCAUCGCCAGGC
rnacentral:rRNA from 1 species